AAGACUGUACUUUCAGGGGUCAUGUCUGUAGUUUGUUACUUACAGAGGAGCAUGUAGAGCAGCAGAAACCACGAGGAAGAGGCACAGUGUCCUCUCCUGAGUGUGAAGCCAGCUCUUGGUAUUGCUUCACUACAACUGUCACUUGCCAUUUAUAAUCAUUCUUCUCUUCUUUGGGGAGAGUGAGAGGGAGAGAAUGCAGUCUGAGUGGU